GAAGGCACGACAUUGCUCACAUUGCUUCCAGAGUUUUUAGGCCGGCUAUAUGCCGGCCCUUUUUU
rnacentral:antisense_RNA from 1 species